rnacentral:rRNA from 1 species
GACGAACGCUGGCGGCGUGCCUAAUACAUGCAAGUUGAGCGCUGAAGGUUGGUACUUGUACCAACUGGAUGAGCAGCGAACGGGUGAGUAACGCGUGGGGAAUCUGCCUUUGAGCGGGGGACAACAUUUGGAAACGAAUGCUAAUACCGCAUAAAAACUUUAAACACAAGUUUUAAGUUUGAAAGAUGCAAUUGCAUCACUCAAAGAUGAUCCCGCGUUGUAUUAGCUAGUUGGUGAGGUAAAGGCUCAACAAGGCGAUGAUACAUAGCCGACCUGAGAGGGUGAUCGGCCACAUUGGGACUGGGAAACCGCCCAAACCUCUACGGGAGGCAGCAGUAGGGAAUCUUCGGCAAUAGACGAAAGUCUUACCGAGCAACGCCGCGUGAGGGAAGAAGGUUUUCGGAUCGUAAAACUCUGUUGGUAGAGAAGAACGUUGGUGAUAGUGGAAAGCUCAUCAAGUGACGGCAACUACCCAGAAAGGGACGGCUAACUACGUG